CACGCACACCCAACUCACAACCCUGUACACACAAAGCGAUGCGAAAGGGAGGAGGAGGAGGGAGGCAACGAGCAUCCGCCUCUGGGAAACCUGCUGGAGGAGGAGGAGGAAGCGGCAUUUUUGCAAAGAGAUGGCGCCCAAGUAACAUGUGCCCAGAGAGCCCCAGCGCUGGCAGGAGCCUAAUCCUUGGCAGAAGACCGCAUGCCUCCCACGCCCGCCAGGGCUGCCAGCAGGAUCCUCUGGGCCCCCGAAGCUAUUUGUCUUUAAGUUCGAUGUAUCCGUGCAGCAGAGUUUUGUGGAGACUGCAUGGCUUGGAAGGAACCUGGGUACCUGAAGUAUUGUCAACUCCAACAUGAACUGGCCCAUACACUCAGGCCCAUACUGCCUCCUAGGGAUGGAUCCAAGAAGUUAUCCUCGAUUGCAUCAUGGCACCAUUACAGGAUGCAUUAAGCUAGUCAACCUUUUUGGUUGAAACUCCGUUGAUUUCUUUUAUGAGAAGCCACAGCAAAAAAACUGUCGAAUCAGAAGUCUAUGGAACCGUACAUUUAUUUAUGGUUAGGACACAUCUGUGUCAGAAGACCCUUCUCUGGAAGUUUCAAGAUACCCAAGGCUGCUCUGUUGCUUCAGCAGAGUGAAGUGUUUGGAGAUCUAUUCCUUCAGUUGCUGACAUAAUUAAUGAUUUCAUUAAGACUGUGAAAGGGGGCACUUGUAUUCCUUCUGGCAUGGACAAGCUUAGUUCAUGUCUUAACCCAUGUUGCCUUUGCCGAUCAGGAAGAUUUGGCCUCUAACUCCCCAAGUUAAAAGCCAAAUAUACUGGGAUAUAAUAUUCUUCACCAUGUCAAGAGCCUGACACAUAAACACAAACAGCUACUAUGGAUUACAUGUUGGCAAAGAAUUGCCCUAAUCUUUCAAACAAUAA